rnacentral:rRNA from 1 species
ACACGUGAGUAACCUGCCCUUAACUCUGGGAUAAGCCUGGGAAACUGGGUCUAAUACCGGAUAGGAGCGUCCACCGCAUGGUGGGUGUUGGAAAGAUUUAUCGGUUUUGGAUGGACUCGCGGCCUAUCAGCUUGUUGGUGAGGUAAUGGCUCACCAAGGCGACGACGGGUAGCCGGCCUGAGAGGGUGACCGGCCACACUGGGACUGAGACACGGCCCAGACUCCUACGGGAGGCAGCAGUGGGGAAUAUUGCACAAUGGGCGCAAGCCUGAUGCAGCGACGCCGCGUGAGGGAUGACGGCCUUCGGGUUGUAAACCUCUUUCAGUAGGGAAGAAGCGAAAGUGACGGUACCUGCAGAAGAAGCACCGGCUAACUACGUGCCAGCAGCCGCGGUAAUACGUAGGGUGCGAGCGUUAUCCGGAAUUAUUGGGCGUAAAGAGCUCGUAGGCGGUUUGUCGCGUCUGUCGUGAAAGUCCGGGGCUUAACCCCGGAUCUGCGGUGGGUACGGGCAGACUAGAGUGCAGUAGGGGAGACUGGAAUUCCUGGUGUAGCGGUGGAAUGCGCAGAUAUCAGGAGGAACACCGAUGGCGAAGGCAGGUCUCUGGGCUGUAACUGACGCUGAGGAGCGAAAGCAUGGGGAGCGAACAGGAUUAGAUACCCUGGUAGUCCAUGCCGUAAACGUUGGGCACUAGGUGUGGGGACCAUUCCACGGUUUCCGCGCCGCAGCUAACGCAUUAAGUGCCCCGCCUGGGGAGUACGGCCGCAAGGCUAAAACUCAAAGGAAUUGACGGGGGCCCGCACAAGCGGCGGAGCAUGCGGAUUAAUUCGAUGCAACGCGAAGAACCUUACCAAGGCUUGACAUGUUCUCGAUCGCCGUAGAGAUACGGUUUCCCCUUUGGGGCGGGUUCACAGGUGGUGCAUGGUUGUCGUCAGCUCGUGUCGUGAGAUGUUGGGUUAAGUCCCGCAACGAGCGCAACCCUCGUUCCAUGUUGCCAGCACGUAAUGGUGGGGACUCAUGGGAGACUGCCGGGGUCAACUCGGAGGAAGGUGAGGACGACGUCAAAUCAUCAUGCCCCUUAUGUCUUGGGCUUCACGCAUGCUACAAUGGCCGGUACAAUGGGUUGCGAUACUGUGAGGUGGAGCUAAUCCCAAAAAGCCGGUCUCAGUUCGGAUUGGGGUCUGCAACUCGACCCCAUGAAGUCGGAGUCGCUAGUAAUCGCAGAUCAGCAACGCUGCGGUGAAUACGUUCCCGGGCCUUGUACACACCGC